UACGUAGGGUGCUAGCGUUGUUCGGAAUCAUUGGGCGUAAAGCGCGUGUAGGUGGUUAGUUAAGUCGGGUGUGAAAUCCCUGGGCUCAACCGAGGAAGUGCAUCCGAAACUAACUAGCUAGAGUGUGGUAGAGGAAGGUGGAAUUCCUAGUGUAGAGGUGAAAUUCGUAGAUAUUAGGAGGAAUACCGGUGGCGAAGGCGGCCUUCUGGACCAUUACUGACACUGAGACGCGAAAGCGUGGGGAGCAAACAGG
rnacentral:rRNA from 1 species